AAGUAGGUUGAUAUCCAGAAGAAGUCUCAUGCUGUGAGACUGAUGAAACACCAUCAACUGCUGCAGGUGCUGACUUUUUACUUUCAUUUGCAGCAAUAUCACUGAUUGUUGUGGCCCUCCUGCUUAUUCCGGAAACUCCUAGAGUAGAAGUCAGGUUACUCGUCUUUGAUCCAUUAUCUUUUCUGUAUCCAGGAAUAAGCUUGGUAGACUCGGCUGACCCACCGCGCCCAACAUAUCGUUCUGCACCUCCCCUGCUACCACGGCCUGAGUUGCUAAUUGCACCACGUGGCCUAGAUUCAGUCGUAUCCUUACUCUCUUUUCUCUUUUCACGUUUGCUCUUCACCUCAUGAAAAGUAUCUUGAGUAAGAAGCCUAUUGACAGCUUCAUUGGGGUCCAUAUUACAUUCUUUGAGCAUAGCAUAGAUCUCAGGUUCAGGACAGUUAACUAUCUCCUUUAAGCUUUGUACCAUCUUUCUUGACCCUGCGGGUAUCGAUUGUACCCCAACUCCACCAUUGUUUCUGCUACUCAUCUUUGAAGAAGACAACUCUUCUUCUCUAAAAAAAAAGAGAGGAAAAAAACAAGAAAGACCCACAAAAUAUUUUCUUGUUUCAGAUCUGUUAUAGUUUAGGGUUUUUUGGGUCUCCUCAACUCUGUAUAUUUAUCUCAGUUUUAUUAUGAAAAAUAACGCACAGAAUGAAGGGGUUUUU
rnacentral:misc_RNA from 1 species